CAUUGACAUGUCACCGUGGCUGGAUGUGUGACAUGGAUGGAAGCACCAGCAGCAGCACUCCAUGUUUAAGGCAGCCCAGAAGCUGGCAUUCGCUUCAGGAUGCCUACAAGCACCCUCAUCUGUGGAGCCAUCAGUGCCUUCAUUGUGGGCGUGUAGUGCAGGUGCCUGUGUGAUGCUCUGCUCUCAGAGGGUGCUGACAGCAGCCUGUUGCAGCAUUAAUGCUCCCCCUGCACUUUUCUGCUUUGGCCAGGAACACUCAUCAAACUGACAGAUGUCUCAGACCUAUGAAAUGGUUCAACCAGCCAGUUGCAGAUUCUGUUUUGGCAUCAUCCUUCCUCAGUGUAAUUAAGCACUUAGAAGGUCCAUAUAAAUGGAAAUCAGCUGGCAUCUGGUAGUAAAGAUGGCCCAUCUGAGUCAUAGACCAGAAAAAAAUUGCAGCACUGAAAUGUUUUUCACAGAAAGACAACUUUUACAUAAAGAUGAUUUGGGGGAGAGGGUCAGAGCCAGAACAGGGAGCAUCAGGGCUUUGGCUGAGGAGAGUGGGGGAGAUCACCCACCACCUGGAAGGUGCCAAUCUCAUCUAAGAUUGACUCAUCUCACAGUUGCUACUACUUUUAAAAUGUAUCAUCUGUUGUGAGAACAGUGACAAUUCUAGUGGCAAAAUAUAUAUCCUAAAUAUCCUUACAAAAAUAGUCAACAAGCUCAGAAUCUUCCAAGUCAUUUUCUCAAAAAAGGUUCUUCACUAUUUUCUUUUCCAGCUAGCUACAAAAAACCGCCCUAAAAUAUAUUCCAUGUUAACCUUGGUCUUGUUCCUUUCCUUGCUGCUGAUAGCCCUGGGGAUGGCCUGGCCCAGUGUUUACAUGGAAAGGGAAUGGUGCACACUCCAUUCACUGCUGCACAACACAAGCUUGUGCUCUACUGCUAUUUCUGGAUGUUCUCCUCUUGGAAGGCAUCGUUGUGAAACUGUCUGGUGGAUUAAUUAUCACCUAAUGCUAGGCAGUGAAAAACUCAGAUCUCAGACAGUUUUAAUGGAAUAAUGCUGAAAGCGGUCUCAGAAGAAAAACAAAACAACUCAGCUGAAAAAAUCAGCAUGAAUGGCUCUUUUUGGGCUGAACAGUGCACUGCUCCAUGAAACUGUGCUAAAAGAAAGAAAAUAGAGGGCACAGUGAGCCUUCCCCUGUGAUCCUGCACUACUGGAGUCGGGAGCAGGCACACUGGCCAGCUUUAUAUGCCAGCCUGUGAGGAGCAAGGAAGCUGGAAGCUAACAGUAUUAUCAGAAAUGCUGAGGAAGCAGCAUAGUAAGAGCAAAGAGAAGCUGUUGCCUUGGUGCAUGUUGGCUGAGUUUCUCCUGGGUCCUUUAACACAAGAGGAAGCUGUUCCCAGUGCUCCUGCAGGCGGGGUACCCAUCUCUUUCACUGUAUCUUCAAAGGGUUUGCAGGGAACGUGCCCUGCAUAGGAGAUUGCCAAGGACCAUAAUGCAAGAUUUUCAAGUUCAUAAAACCUCAACUCAUUCAAAGCACAGGCAGAAGUUAAACUCUUUUUGAGCAGCUGUGAAGAGUUACAAUUUUGGGACGGCUUUUCUUGCCGUGCCCAGAAUUUGAGAAGCACUGUAACCACCAGGAGCAUUUAAAGAAAUGUCAGGGACUAUGAAUCUCUGGCAUCUCUGGGAUGAGGACUAAAAUUGCAUCUCUGACAGCUGAUCAGUGAUGUAAGCUGAGAGCAGCUCCACUAAAUUCAACACUGAUCCAUCAGAGACCAGAGCUGGUAAGUCAGCAUGAGUGGACAAACUGGAAUGAGAUUCCUUCUUGUGUUCUGGGCUUCUCUCACAUAAGCUGGUUUAAGUGAAAGGCAGCAGGUUUCCACAUCCACUUCUCUCUGAGCUAAAACUGGGAUCAAGAGACAAGAAAGACUAGGGAGAUCUGCUAAUUUGGUAGAAAGACAGAAAAGUUACAGGAUCACAGAUGAUUUGUAAAUGCUUUCCUUUAUCCCAAACAGAGAAUGAGUUUUCAGUAUGAGCAGUUGAUACGUGGAUGCUGCAAUAGCAUGAUAGUCUGAUCUUAAUUUGGUAUAUUUCUGUGCUAAACUGAUUUGUAAUGCAAACCUGAAGCCAGCUGCUGUGAAAAUACACCAGCUAGGGUGGGGAGACUAAAUUCUGGGGUUUUUGAUCGACAGCAAUUUGCAUCCCAUUUGUGACCAAGAGGUAGGCCUGAGGCCUGACCUGAAUGUGGCCCUGCUCUCGGGGGCAAUGCUAAUAUAUCUUUUUCACUACAGGGAAAAAGUUACAUCUAGGUUGGAGUUUGCUUGACAUACUUAAAAAUGUGUUUUCAUGUGGGCUGAAAACAUGAGCUGUGGCCAUUGAAAUACAAGCUAUGGCAUGGUGGCUGCUAUAGUGCAGUGGCUGUUCAUCCUCUCACACUUAUUUGUGACUAGCAAACCCAGAAGUUCAGGUCUAUUUUCUUAACCCACUAGCUGCAGAACUCCCACUAAACUGAAUGGAGUCAUUCAGCUGAGUGCCAAGGCAUUUCAGUGCUUGAAAGUGAACACCAAAGCGUUUGCAUGCAUACCUCCUGGUGUGCUGGCUGCUUUAAUGGCAGAGCACAGACCUCCUCCAUUGCCCCUAAAUCAUGCCACUUUAUUCCCUGGGUCCCCCAAGGAUUCCUCUUCCGUGCUCUUUUGUGUGGAUGUUCAUUCACAAUUUAAACAUCACAAACUCGGUGACAAUAUCCUAACUAGGAAUAGGCUGUUGGCACAUUUCCAGGGUGCAGUAUUGCACAUAGGUCUGCUCUGAUGAAAGAGAAGUCAGCUGGAGAAUAGGGGACUCAGUUCUAAAGCUCUAAAGCUGUCCUGAAAUUAAUGCCUUAGGUGACUUUAUAUUUUUAUUGGGCAAUGCUUUAUGCAGCUCUGGCUUCUUAUGACUCAUAAUCUUAAAAAAUCCAUCCCCAACUCCUCUUUUUCUGAGAAGAUCUGUAUGCAUUCAGCCUCAGGCUGCUGAGAUGAGUAGCACAGCCUUCCUGGUUUUAGUAGUCUGUAUUUCUCUAAAAUUCUAAAUUUCUCACAUUUUCUGUAGGUAUAGGGGAAGUUUUUUUCCUGUUCCUAUAUAAAAUACAGAAUGUACGUUAUGUGAUAUGUGAGAUUUACAUUUGAGCUAGUUUAUAAUUUAAGAGUUCUACUGUCAUGAGUGAGAGCACUCAGUGUGCAUAGAAUUAAGUGCACAAGGCACAAAUCUCAUCCUGCCUACACAUACCCAGGUUUCUCAUAAUCUCUUUUGAUAUGCUCUUGUAACUUUCUCUUGUAUCUUCUUUUAUAGUGUCUCAUUAAUUAAGAAUAAAGACUUAUUAUCAUAAAUAAAAAAUUCCCACAGUUUCAUGGAAGAAUUUCUACAGUUUUAUGGGAUGACAACUGAGCAGCUGCUGAGCCAAGAAGUUUGUGUAGCCCAUUUCUGAGAAGCUGUGCCAGGGCUUACACCUGCCACUGAGAGCUUCAUCAGCCCUGGAGUCCAAAGGGAAGAGAAACAGUCAGUAGCCACUGGGCAUCCAGGAUGGGAGAAUACAGACCCUACAAAUUGCAGCACAUCAGCUG